rnacentral:tRNA from 1 species
ACCUGGGUGGCUCAGUGGUUGAGCAUCUGCCUUCUGCUCAGGUUGUGAUCUGGGGCUCUUGGGAUCGAAUCCCACAUCAGGCU